CUUUGUUUUCUUCUAUCGUGCUCAGCUUUGAAUGGCUCUGUGCAGACCUGUCGCAGUCCCCAAAAUUAAAACAACUUAAGAGUCAGAUGACCAUUGAAUUUUGUGCUGGAAACGAUCAUGAAGUUUCAGAAUUUAACUUGGCAGCCACGGCGUCGAGCUAAACUACCUGCUGUAUUAGUACAGACAAUCUAUUCAGAUGUCUUCUGUGCAUGUGGAUUGUAUCAUCCAUCUACCACCAUAGCCGCCUCCUCCUCGGAUCACCUCAUCUCCAUCAUCCAUCCACGCUUCAGCUUCACUCCACCAGUCAUCUCUUGAAUUCAUUGUUCCUGUCUUCAAAGGACUAGACGCCAAGCUCAAGAUGUAUAAGCAUUGUGCUUAUACUGCCAUCUGGUGGUGACAAGAUGAACCAGCUGACCACAGGAGACGACUGAACAUUCGUCCACUGUACUGUAUGUAGUUCAUAAACAUUUGCUGUGCUGCUUAAUCAAGCAGAUAAUGAGCAGUAAGAUUUGAGCUUGUCUCUCUGGAGGGUGUGUGUAUCAUGUAUUCGUGUGUGUAGAGCGAGAGAGAGAGAGAGAGAGAGAGAGAGAGGGGGUAUAAAUAUUUAUGGCAAGCAAACAGAUCAAUGGCUAUUAAAAAGGUCAAGGGCGGAUGAUGAUGGGUGCUGGGUGUUUGUAUUGAUAAAAUUUGGAACAUCAUAAUGAAUUACAAAAGUACACACACACAGUCUAAUUGAGUGAAAGGAGCUCAUCCUAGCACUUUUUUUUGCCAAAAUGUCCUCAUAAAAGGUGGGUAGUCAUACACACACACACACACACAAUCAAUACAGGUACAAAAUGAGCGCAACUAAGUUAUUGAUCAUGCUGGAUGUGUCAUAAUGAAUAGUAUAGGAUUUGCGGUGAUGCAAGCAAAACCAUCCAAUAUAGCGAUGAAUAAUUCCACACUCUGCAUUAAUGCUAUAAGGGAGUUGAACCAUGUGAUCUCUCCCGGCUAAUCAAUGAGGAAUGGUCAUGAUCAAUGGAAAUGGUGAUUAAAUAUAGUAAAACAAAUAUAUAUUAUACUGAUUCAUCAUUAUAAUCAACCUAUAUGUAAUUUUUUGCAGUGAUUAUGGUGGUCUGCGGACUCAUAAAAACGUAUGACUCAAAAAUGAGCUGAAAUUAAAUUGAAAUUGUCCUUUGUAGAAAUAUGGUUCAAAUCACCGCAUACGCAACGAGCCAAUUACCUGCGAGUACGGUUAUACUUACAAAGUCAAAUGGUGGUGAACCACUGUGUUGAUAUUACAGAAGAGUGUUACAUAACCCCCAAACUAUUUUCACGUCUCUUUAAAGCGCCGAUCAUUAUGAAUGUGGAAUAAUUGCAUCACAAACAAGGAACGAGCCAAUUAAUAUCCAUCUGAUUGCAUUUUAUUCGCCCUUAUUCCAGAAUGAUAUACCUCGCAAUCAGACAUAAUAGCAAGAUGCCAAAUCAUUCAGGCUGGAUAUUUGUGAUUUGAAAUUAAAAUAAUCUAUAAAGAUGACGUCUUGGACCUGCAUGCAUUACAUUGUCUUUACACUUCUAAAUAUUGGGAAAAUAUCAAUAUAUAACUUUGAUUGAACACUACAAUGUAAACCCUUCAGUGUGUAAAAUGCAGUUCACACACGUUUCCACCUUCCUGAUUUCUUAUUUUUGUCAGAUUGUCAAAUUUAAAUAUUCGCCAGUCAAUAACACAACUGAACACAAAAAAAUCAAAAUCUACAAAGUCCUGUGGUGUGGAGUUUUUUGCCUCCCAUAAUAAGUUUCAUAAAAUAAAAUAAACAACAUUUUGUGUUCAGUUGUGUUGUCAUGCAAUAAUAAUGUAAUUAUAUUUCUAUUUGUUUGAUGAUCUGAAACAUUUGAGUGUGACAAAAAAAUCUGAAAUCAUGAAGGGGGCAAACUCCCACACUGUAUAUACAUAUACACAUAUAUGUAUAUAUAUGUGUGUGAUACACACACACACGCAUAUACAGAGGAUUAUGGAAAGAGAUAUACAAUCUGGCAUUACCAAUCUGGCAAUACAAACCUAUUUUUUGGUCAGAAGGGGUCUCGGAGUGAACUCCCACCAUGUUGAUCAGCUAAUAAUAAUAAUAGUCAGAAUCGAUAGAAGCUGGGGGUUAGAAGAAUGUCUCCCUGCACAGUGGACAAGUGGACUUGUUGCUGGAUGUGAACCAUUUGUACUGGAGAUAGGACAGAGAUAAUACAAUAUUAUUAAAACACAGAAUGGAGUAUAUGUUUUGUGUAGUUAAAAUCAAUACAUCUCUCAUUUAAAACCAUCAGUGUUGAUAUGUACGUAACGUUCAAAUACCUGCGAGGAAUUUUAAAGUGCUGAGACAUUCAAUUCAAUGCGGUUGUGUUGCACCAAACCACAUAAUAAAAAGACAACUUAC